GGUGUUUUGGUCAUUUGAGAAAAAGUUGUGGGGUGGGGGGUUCGCGGUACUUGGGGAAGGCAAGGGCGGUUGGUGUCAGCAGCAUGCAUUGUCGAGGGAUCAAAACCCACUGGGGAUGGGUCCCACCUCCCCGCUCCUUCCAUAAACCCAAAAAGAAUACUUCCUCACCCUUAAUGGUCUCAUCCUUUUCCCUGCCCUUUAUGUUUUCCUCUUAUUCUCUAUUUUCCCUAAAAUACCCCCUCUCUCUAUUUUCAUUAAAAUCUCUCUUCCUCUCUCCCAUCAACUAUCUCUCUCUCUCUCUCUCUAUUUUCCUUAAAAUCUCUACACUCUCUCUCUCUCUCUGCCCUCUAUGCUUUCCUUUUAUUCUCUAGUUUUUCCUAAAACCUCUCCCCCUCUCUUCUCUCUCUAAAUAAAUCUAUCUCUCUCUCUCUCUCUCUAGAUUCAACUAUAACCCACCACUGAUAAGCAUGUAAGAGUUACAACUGAGAUAGUAAUAGUAGGGUUAUGACAGAGGUGGGAGAGGAUCUUUUAUCAGUUUAUGUACUACCCUAAAAAUAGAGAGAGAGAGAGAGAGAGAGAGGGGAGGGGGNN
rnacentral:lncRNA from 1 species